rnacentral:rRNA from 1 species
UGUGAACGCUGGCGGUAGGCCUAACACAUGCAAGUCGAACGGCAGCACAGUAAGAGCUUGCUCUUACGGGUGGCGAGUGGCGGACGGGUGAGGAAUACAUCGGAAUCUACUUUUUCGUGGGGGAUAACGUAGGGAAACUUACGCUAAUACCGCAUACGACCUACGGGUGAAAGCAGGGGAUCUUCGGACCUUGCGCGAUUGAAUGGGCCGAUGUCGGAUUAGCUAGUUGGCGGGGUAAAGGCCCACCAAGGCGACGAUCCGUAGCUGGUCUGAGAGGAUGAUCAGCCACACUGGAACUGAGACACGGUCCAGACUCCUACGGGAGGCAGCAGUGGGGAAUAUUGGACAAUGGGCGCAAGCCUGAUCCAGCCAUACCGCGUGGGUGAAGAAGGCCUUCGGGUUGUAAAGCCCUUUUGUUGGGAAAGAAAAGCAGCAGGUUAAUACCCCGCUGUUCUGACGGUACCCAAAGAAUAAGCACCGGCUAACUUCGUG